rnacentral:rRNA from 1 species
GACGAACGCUGGCGGCGUGCUUAACACAUGCAAGUCGAACGGAAAGGCCCGGCGCUUGUGGGGUGCACGAGUGGCGAACGGGGGAGUAACACGUGAGUAUCAUGUCCCUGACUGUGGGAGAACUCCAGGAAACUGGGGCGAAAACCGGAUAGGAGCUACUGCUGCAUGGGGGGGGUUGGAAAGAGUCGGCGGUGGUGGAUGGACUCGGGGGGUAUCAGCUGGUUGGGGGGGUAGGGGGGUACAAAGGCUUCGACGGGUAGCCGACGUGAGCGGGUGAUCGGCGACCCUGGAACUGAGGCACGGUCCAGAGUCCUACGGGAGGCCGCAGUAGGGAAUCUUCCGCAGAGGUCGAAAGCCUGACGGAGCAACGCCGCGUGAGUUAUGAAGGUCUUCGGAUCGUAAAACUCUGUUAUUAGGGAAGAACAAAUGUGUAAGUAACUAUGCACGUCUUGACGGUACCUAAUCAGAAAGCCACGGCUAACUACGUG